AGAGAUGCACUGGGCUUAAAGAGUGCGCAGGCGGUUUUGUAAGACAGAGGUGAAAUCCCCGGGCUCAACCUGGGAACUGCCUUUGUGACUGCAAGGCUGGAGUGCGGCAGAGGGGGAUGGAAUUCCGCGUGUAGCAGUGAAAUGCGUAGAUAUGCGGAGGAACACCGAUGGCGAAGGCAAUCCCCUGGGCCUGCACUGACGCUCAUGCACGAAAGCGUGGGGAGCAAACA
rnacentral:rRNA from 1 species